ACUAUACAAAGGUAUUGAAAUAAGACUUUAAUUGAGUGCUAAGAGAAUGGAAUUUCAUAAAAUUUCUUUUUUAAUUUUAAAAAUUGAAAUUAAUUUUAUAUGUGAAGAAACAAUAAUAAAAAUUAAGGACAAGAAGACCCUAAGAAUUUUAAAGAUUUCAAUAAAAUUUUGUAUUUUAUUGAAAUCUUUUAAUUGGGGCGAUUAUUAAAUAUUAAAAACUUUAAUUUUUUAAAAAAAGAACCAAUAAUAUUGGUUAUUUGAAAAAAUACUCUAGGGAUAACAGCGUAAUAAUUUUUGAUAGUUCUUAUAGACAAAAUAGUUUGCGACCUCGAUGUUGGAUUAGGAUUCUUUUUUAAUGAAGAAGUUAAAAAAAGAAGUUUGUUCAACUUUUAAAAUCCUACUUGAUCUGAGU
rnacentral:rRNA from 1 species